rnacentral:rRNA from 1 species
UGCCAGCAGCCGCGGUAAUACGAAAGGAGCUAGCGUUGUUCGGAAUUACUGGGCGUAAAGCGCGCGUAGGCGGCUUUGUAAGUCGGAUGUGAAAGCCCCGGGCUCAACCCGGGAAUUGCAUUCGAUACUGCAGAGCUAGAGUAUGGUAGAGGGAAGUGGAAUUUCCGGUGUAGAAGUGAAAUUCGUAGAUAUUGGGAGGAACACCAGUGGCGAAGGCGACUACCUGGGCCGAUAUUGACACUGAGGUGCGAAAGCGCGGGGAGCAAACAGGAUUAGAUA